UGGGUAACCUGCCUCAAAGAGGGGAAUAGCCUCCCCGAAAAGGGGAGAUUAAUACCGCAUAAUAUGUUUAAGGUCGCAUGACUUUAACAUCAAAGGGUUUNUUUUAUUAAUACUCUNUG
rnacentral:rRNA from 1 species